GCAUAAUGUUCUGAAUUUCUCUUUUUUUCAAGGAAGGACUGGCUGCCCAGCUGGAGGGAGUUCAGUCAUCAGAUAGCCUCAAGGCAUCAGCUAUAACAGGGUUUGUCUCAGCUGCCAAGAUCUGUCUUGCCUGAGGUCAAGUAAUUCUUUCUGGGUGACCCACUGACGCUGCUGACUCCGUGUUUCCCUAUCUGACAGUGUGGGGCUGGAUGGCCUCUGGCUGUCAUAUUUUGAGCCUUCGUCCCAUGCCAGGUCCUGAGCUGCUACUGAGGCAACCAGCAGUUUGUGGACUCUCACCAGCACAUGCAGAACCAACAUGGCCAUGCUUCUGGCAGAUCAUGCUGCAGACCUCUCAUCUCCUCUCUGGGGUUUUCUGCUGUAUAUGUACAUGUGCAGUUCAGUGCCCAGCUCAGAAGCAUGCAGGAGUUAACACACCUGAUGAGAGAGAGAUAAAGAAUCCAGGAUCAUAGAAAAAGCAAGGGAAUUCCAGAAAAAGCAUCUACUUCUGGUAAGCCUUUGACUGGGUGGAGCACAACAAACUGUGGAAAUUCCUUAAAUGGAUGGGAAUACCAGACCACCUUUCCUGUCUCCUGAGAAACCUACGUGCAGGACAAGAGUCAACAGUUAGACCUGGACAUGGAAAAAUGGACUGGUUCCAAAUUGAGAAAAGAGUAUGUCAAGGCUGUAUAUUGUCACCCUGCUUAUAUAACUUAUAUGCAGGAUACAUCAUGUGAAAUGCCGGGCUGGAAGAAUCACAAGCUGAAAUCAAGAUUGCCAGAAGAAAUUUCAACAACCUCAGAUAUGCCGAUGAUACCACUCUAGUGGCAGAAAGCAAGAGAAACUAAACAGUCUCUUGAGGAAAGUGAAAGAGGAGGGUGAAAAAGCUGGCUUAACACUCCAAAAAUUAAGAUCAUGGCUUUGGGUCUCAUCACUUCAUGGCAAAUAGAUGGGGAAAAAUGGAAACAGUGUCAGACUUUAUUUUCUUGGGCUCUGAAAUCACUGUGAUGGUGACUGCAGCCAUGAUAUUAAAAGAUGCUUGCUCCUUGAAAGAAAGACUAUGACAACUAAUGUAGAUAGCAUAUUGAAAAGCAGAGACAUGCCCUGAAGGAAUUCGUGUUGGUACAGAGGUGCCUGUAGGGGUCAUGGGCCACCAGACCACCCCCGGGGCUGGAGGCCUAUGGUCCCUCCUAGGCCCCGAUUCUCACCUCCUCAACUCCUCACCUCCCGCCGUCUUGGGGGCCCCUAUGGCUUGUGGCACAGAUGGGGAGUGCAUAUUUUACCAUCUGUGAAAACUUCUCUGUAAUUUAUUUUUUCCUCACUCAAGUAUUAAACAUUACAGCAAAUUUAAAAGAUAUGAAUGAAUAUCCUACAAAAAGAAAAAGGAAGACUUCACAUCUUUCUACUUAUUCAGAUUCCUCUGGAAUAAGCAGAAUUGCAGAUAGGUUCAGUGGAAUUUUUUUUUUUUGAUCAUUGUUACAGUGUUCUAUGAGACAACCAGACAAAAUAUUUUGACAAUAAAGAUGAUGAUUCAGAUACA
ensembl:lncRNA